AGUCGACUGUCAAAUGGCAGCUUCCGAGCGUAAUCUCGGUUGACAAAGAAGGUGAAUUGCUGGAAACCCAAACACAUCAUGGUGUGGGCAAUCAGCAGCCAAGACGUGCAUAGCACGUAAGGUUCAGAGACUAUCCUCACGGAGUACUGCAAAUCUUGCAAUAAAGAUUUGUGGGAAGCGCCUUCCGCCCCACUCUUUCUAUCCAAGAUGGACAAGAAGGGCGAUGAUAUAGUCCAUGCCCGUGGAAACACGAGG
rnacentral:ncRNA from 1 species